UAAUACAUGCAGUCGAACGAGCACUUCGGUGUUAGUGGCGAACGGGUGAGUAACACGUAAAUAACCUGCCCCAAAGACUGGGAUAACUAUUGGAAACGAUAGCUAAUACCGGAUAGGUAACUCGAAGGCAUCUUUGAGAUAUUAAAGUUUAGAUACACUAUGGGAUGGAUUUGCGGAGUUUAGUUAGUUGGUGAGGUAACGGCCCACCAAGACGAUGAUGCAUAGCCGACCUGAGAGGGUGACCGGCCACACUGGGACUGAGACACGGCCCAGACUCCUACGGGAGGCAGCAGUAGGGAAUUUUCGGCAAUGGGGGAAACCUGACCGAGCAACGCCGCGUGAGUGAAGAAGGUUUUCGGAUUGUAAAGCUCUGUUGUAAGGGACGAACGUAUAGGAUAGAAUCUUAUAGUGACGGUACCUUACCAGAAAGCCACGGCUAACUACGUGCCAGCAGCCGCGGUAAUACGUANAUGGCAAGCGUUAUCCGGAVNAUAUUGGGCGUAAAGGGUGCGCAGUGGGUUAAUUAAGUCUGAGGUAAAAGCGUGGAGCUCAACUCCAUUUGGCCUGGAAACUGUAACUAGAGUGCAGAGAGGGUAGUGGAAUUCCAUGUGUAGCGUAAAAUGCGUAGAUAUAUGGAGGAACACAGUGGCGAAGGGGCUACCUGGGUCUGUACUGACAGUCAUGCGCGAAGUGGGAGCGAUAGAUUAGAUACCUAUAUCACGCUGUAAACGAUGAGCACUAAGUGUUGGAGAAAUUCAGUGCUGCAGUUAACGCAAUAAGUCUCCGCCUGGGAGUAUGCACGCAAGUGUGAAACUCAAAGGAAUUGACGGGGACCGCACAAGCGGUGGAGUAUGUGGUUUAAUUCGACGCAACGCGAAGAACCUUACCAGGUCUUGACAUACCUUGCAAAGCACUAGAGAUAGUGAAAUAGUUAUGGAGGAUACAGGUGGUGCAUGGUUGUCGUCAGCUCGUGUCGUGAGAUGUUGGGUUAAGUCCCGCAACGAGCGCAACCCUUGUCUUUAGUUACCAUCAUUAAGUUGGGGACUCUAAAGAGACUGCCGGUGAUAAACCGGAGGAAGGUGGGGAUGACGUCAAAUCAUCAUGCCCCUUAUGACCUGGGCAACACACGUACUACAAUGGCAAGUACAGAGGGAAGCGAAAUGGCAACAUGAAGCAAAACUCAAAAAGCUUGUCUCAGUUCGGAUUGUAGUCUGCAACUCGACUACAUGAAGUUGGAAUCGCUAGUAAUCGCGGAUCAGCAUGCCGCGGUGAAUACGUUCUCGGGUCUUGUACACACCGCCCGUCAAACCAUGAGAGUCGAUAAUGCCCAAACCGGUGGCCUAACCGUAAGGAGGGAGCCGUC
rnacentral:rRNA from 1 species